rfam:Candida tropicalis MYA-3404 genomic scaffold supercont3.5, whole genome shotgun sequence.
UUUAAAUGAUGAUCUCAAUCUUUGGUCCGUGUUUAUGAGGUGGAUUCAAGACCCACCGCAUGAGUGACAAAGAAGAUUUAAAUCUUUUAUCUGAUUCC